GUCUUGACAUCCACGGAAGUUUUCAGAGAUGAGAAUGUGCCUUCGGGAACCGUGAGACAGGUGCUGCAUGGCUGUCGUCAGCUCGUGUUGUGAAAUGUUGGGUUAAGUCCCGCAACGAGCGCAACCCUUAUCCUUUGUUGCCAGCGGUCCGGCCGGGAACUCAAAGGAGACUGCCAGUGAUAAACUGGAGGAAGGUGGGGAUGACGUCAAGUCAUCAUGGCCCUUACGACCAGGGCUACACACGUGCUACAAUGGCGCAUACAAAGAGAAGCGACCUCGCGAGAGCAAGCGGACCUCAUAAAGUGCGUCGUAGUCCGGAUUGGAGUCUGCAACUCGACUCCAUGAAGUCGGAAUCGCUAGUAAUCGUGGAUCAGAAUGCCACGGUGAAUACGUUCCCGGGCCUUGUACACACCGCCCGUCACACCAUGGGAGUGGGUUGCAAAAGAAGUAGGUAGCUUAACCUUCGGGAGGGCGCUUACCACUUUGUGAUUCAUGACUGGGGUGAAGUCGUAACAAGGUAACCGUAGGGGAACCUGCGGUUGGAUCACCUCCUUACC
rnacentral:rRNA from 1 species